rnacentral:rRNA from 1 species
GAACCUGGAGAUAGCUGGUUCUCUCCGAAAUAGCUUUAGGGCUAGCCUCAAGUGAUGAUUAUUGGAGGUAGAGCACUGUUUGGACGAGGGGCCCCUCUCGGGUUACCGAAUUCAGACAAACUCCGAAUGCCAAUUAAUUUAACUUGGGAGUCAGAACAUGGGUGAUAAGGUCCGUGUUCGAAAGGGAAACAGCCCAGACCACCAGCUAAGGUCCCAAAAUAUAUGUUAAGUGGAAAAGGAUGUGGCGUUGCCCAGACAACUAGGAUGUUGGCUUAGAAGCAGCCAUCAUUUAAAGAGUGCGUAAUAGCUCACUAGUCGAGUGACACUGCGCCGAAAAUGUACCGGGGCUAAACAUAUUACCGAAGCUGUGGAUUGUCCUUUGGACAAUGGUAGGAGAGCGUUCUAAGGGCGUUGAAGCAUGAUCGUAAGGACAUGUGGAGCGCUUAGAAGUGAGAAUGCCGGUGUGAGUAGCGAAAGACGGGUGAGAAUCCCGUCCACCGAUUGACUAAGGUUUCCAGAGGAAGGCUCGUCCGCUCUGGGUUAGUCGGGUCCUAAGCUGAGGCCGACAGGCGUAGGCGAUGGAUAACAGGUUGAUAUUCCUGUACCACCUAUAAUCGUUUUAAUCGAUGGGGGGACGCAGUAGGAUAGGCGAAGCGUGCGAUUGGAUUGCACGUCUAAGCAGUAAGGCUGAGUAUUAGGCAAAUCCGGUACUCGUUAAGGCUGAGCUGUGAUGGGGAGAAGACAUUGUGUCUUCGAGUCGUUGAUUUCACACUGCCGAGAAAAGCCUCUAGAUAGAAAAUAGGUGCCCGUACCGCAAACCGACACAGGUAGUCAAGAUGAGAAUUCUAAGGUGAGCGAGCGAACUCUCGUUAAGGAACUCGGCAAAAUGACCCCGUAACUUCGGGAGAAGGGGUGCUCUUUAGGGUUAACGCCCAGAAGAGCCGCAGUGAAUAGGCCCAAGCGACUGUUUAUCAAAAACACAGGUCUCUGCUAAACCGUAAGGUGAUGUAUAGGGGCUGACGCCUGCCCGGUGCUGGAAGGUUAAGAGGAGUGGUUAGCUUCUGCGAAGCUACGAAUCGAAGCCCCAGUAAACGGCGGCCGUAACUAUAACGGUCCUAAGGUAGCGAAAUUCCUUGUCGGGUAAGUUCCGACCCGCACGAAAGGCGUAACGAUUUGG